GAUGAACGCUGGCGGCGUGCCUAACACAUGCAAGUCGAGCGAUUUACUUCGGUAAAGAGCGGCGGACGGGUGAGUAACGCGUGGGUAACCUGCCUCAUACACAUGGAUAACAUACCGAAAGGUAUGCUAAUACAAGAUGAUAUAAGAGAUUCGCAUGAAUUUCUUAUCAAAGCUUUUGCGGUAUGAGAUGGACCCGCGUCUGAUUAGCUAGUUGGUAAGGUAACGGCUUACCAAGGCGACGAUCAGUAGCCGACCUGAGAGGGUGAUCGGCCACAUUGGAACUGAGACACGGUCCAAACUCCUACGGGAGGCAGCAGUGGGGAAUAUUGCACAAUGGGCGAAAGCCUGAUGCAGCAACGCCGCGUGAGCGAUGAAGGCCUUCGGGUCGUAAAGCUCUGUCCUCAAGGAAGAUAAUGACGGUACUUGAGGAGGAAGCCCCGGCUAGCUACGUGCCAGCCGCCGCAGUAACAC
rnacentral:rRNA from 1 species